rnacentral:tRNA from 1 species
AGUAAUAUAGUUCAGAUGGUUAGAACGUGCGUCUGAUAAGCGCAAGGUCGUUGGUUCAAGUCCAACUAUUACUA